rnacentral:rRNA from 1 species
UACGGUAGGUGGCAAGCGUUGUCCGGAAUUAUUGGGCGUAAAGCGCGCGCAGGCGGCCUUUUAAGUCUGAUGUGAAAGCCCACGGCUCAACCGUGGAAGGUCAUUGGAAACUGAAAGGCUUGAGUACAGAAGAGGAAAGCGGAAUUCCACGUGUAGCGGUGGAAAAUGCGUAGAGAUGUGGAGGAACACCAGUGGCGAAGGCGGCUUUCUGGUCUGUAACUGACACUGAGGCGCGAGAGCUGGGGAGCAAACGGG